AGUUAAAAAGUUCGUAGUUGGAUUUCUGUGGGGGCGGAGCGGCCGGCCGCAACUUGCGGUUCGAGCUAGCGCUUCCCCUACAUCCUGCCGCGAACCGUGCUACCAUUAGUUUGGUGGCGCCGGGGAUCGGCUCGUUUACUUUGAGAAAAAUAGAGUGUUCAAAGCAGGCCACACGCCUUGAAUAAGUUAGCAUGGGAUAAUAAUAAAGGACUUCGGUUCUAUUUUGUUGGUGUUCGGGACUGAAGUAAUGAUUGAUAGGGACAGUUGGGGCGGUCAGUAUUCCAAAGCGAGAGGUGAAAUUCUUAGACCUUCGGAAGACUAACAGCUGCGAAAGCGUUCCGCAAGGAUGUUCCCUUUGAUCAAGAACGAAAGUUGGGGGAUCGAAGACGAUCAGAUACCGUCGUAGUCUCAACUAUAAACUAUACCAGCUAGGGAUCGGUCAACGUUAAAUUAUUCGACUUGGUCGGCACCUUAUGAGAAAUCAAAGCAUCUGGGUUCCGGGGGGGGUAUGGUCGCAAGGCUGAAACUUAAAGGAAUUGACGGAAGGGCACCACCAGCCGUGGAGCCUGUGGCUAAAUUUGACUCAACACGGGAAAACUUACCAGGUCCAGA
rnacentral:rRNA from 1 species